rnacentral:rRNA from 1 species
UUACGGGGUGCAGCAGGCGCGAAACCUCUGCAAUAGGCGAAAGCCUGACAGGGUUACUCUGAGUGAUUUCCGCUAAGGGGAUCUUUUGGCAUCUCUAAAAAUGGUGCAGAAUAAGGGGUGGGCAAGUCUGGUGUCAGCCGCCGCGGUAAUACCAGCACCCCGAGUGGUCGGGACGUUUAUUGGGCCUAAAGCAUCCGUAGCCGGUUCUACAAGUCUUCCGUUAAAUCCACCUGCACAACAGAUGGGCUGCGGAAGAUACUAUAGAGCUAGGAGGCGGGAGAGGCAAGCGGUACUCGAUGGGUAGGGGUAAAAUCCGUUGAUCCAUUGAAGACCACCAGUGGCGAAGGCGGCUUGCCAGAAUGCGCUCGACGGUGAGGGAUGAAAGCUGGGGGAGCAAACCGGAUUAGAUACCCGGGUAGUCCCAGCUGUAAACGAUGCAGACUCGGUGAUGGGCUAGCCUUGUGCCAGCCCAGUGCCGCAGGGAAGCCGUUAAGUCUGCCGCCUGGGUAGUACGGUCGCAAGACUGAAUCACUAGUGAAUUC